rnacentral:rRNA from 1 species
CCAAAAUGGGUGGUAAACUCCAUCUAAAGCUAAAUACUGGCACGAGACCGAUAGCGAACAAGUACCGUGAGGGAAAGAUGAAAAGCACUUUGAAAAGAGAGUCAAACAGUACGUGAAACCGUUGGGAGGGAAACGAACGAGGUUGGUGCAGUGAUUGCGCAGGCUCAGGUUCUGCCAAAGGUGCCAGCAGGACGACCCAGAGUGUCCCCCGUUGUCUACCGGAGGCAGAGCCGUACUCCUCGCGAGCACGGACCAGUGGCGGUUGGAGUGGGGCCAUAAGGCCGCGGGUACGGUAUGUCGGGUCGGGUUCGCUCGCUCGACAACUUACAGACCGGCGCGCCGGUGCUCCACCCCGACCGAGGAAGGAGGGCAGCGUUUGCCCGGUGUGGUGCACGCCGUAUGGCGGGGCGUCCCGUCGGUAGCAAGUCUGGCUGGGUGGACUGCUUGCAGUGCUCACUGCCACGGCGAACUAACGGUCGGMGAUUGUCACUUGUGCACCAGUGCUACUGGUAUUCGGACGGCCUCGUCCGACCCGUCUUGAAACACGGACCAAGGAGUGCAACAUGUGCGCGAGCCCUUUGGCAAGGAAACCAGAAGGCGUAAUGAAAGUGAAGGCACGGUCGCCGUGCUGAGGUGAGAGCCGUCCCCGACGGGACGGCGCAUCAUCGACCGAUCCCAUCCGUGCUGCUCGCAGUGUGGCGGGAUUCGAGUGAGAGUGUACCUGUUGCGACCCGAAAGAUGGUGAACUAUGCCUGAAUAGGGUGAAGCCAGAGGAAACUCUGGUGGAGGCCCGUAGCGAUUCUGACGUGCAAAUCGAUCGUCAAAUUUGGGUAUAGGGGCGAAAGACUAAUCGAACCAUCUAGUAGCUGGUUCCCUCCGAAGUUUCCCUCAGGAUAGCUGUAGCCCGAAGCAGUUUUAUCAGGUAAAGCGAAUGAUUAGAGGUAUCGGGGAAGAAACUUCCUCGACCUAUUCUCAAACUUUAAAUAGGUAAGAAGUCCGACUUGCUCAAUCUGAAGCCGGACACAGAAUGCUGGGUUACUAGUGGGCCAUUUUUGGUAAGCAGAACUGGCGAUGCGGGAUGAACCGAACGCAGAGUUAAGGUGCCAAAGU